rfam:Dipodomys ordii contig_14152, whole genome shotgun sequence.
GGGAGUAUGGCUCAAGUGGUAGAACAUCUACCUGGCAAGUGGGAGACCUUGAGUUCAAAUCCCAAUACUGCCC